ensembl:misc_RNA
AGAGCGCGUGCGGCCGCCGAGCACAUGGGCCCACGGGCCGGGCGGGCUGGGGGCGACCGGGUAGAGGAGGAGCAGUCAGGAGCCGCGAGCAAGGAUGGACACCCGUACCUCCCGGAGCCCCCCAGUGGAUUUUCACUUGGAAAGGAUGUUGGCGGUCCUGGUGACCCGUGGGACAAGGCUGGAUCCACCCUCCA